CUCGAAGGACGAACGCUGGCGGCGUGCUUAACACAUGCAAGUCGAACGAUGAAGCCGGAGCUUGCUCUGGUGAAUUAGUGGCGAACGGGUGAGUAACACGUGAGUAACCUGCCCAUGACUCUGGGAUAACUGCGGGAAACUGUAGCUAAUACCGGAUACGACCCUUGGAGGCAUCUCCUGAGGAUGGAAAGAAUUUCGGUCAUGGAUGGACUCGCGGCCUAUCAGCUAGUUGGUGAGGUAAAGGCUCACCAAGGCGACGACGGGUAGCCGGCCUGAGAGGGUGACCGGCCACACUGGGACUGAGACACGGCCCAGACUCCUACGGGAGGCAGCAGUGGGGAAUAUUGCACAAUGGGCGCAAGCCUGAUGCAGCAACGCCGCGUGAGGGACGACGGCCUUCGGGUUGUAAACCUCUUUUAGUAGGGAAGAAGCGAAAGUGACGGUACCUGCAGAAAAAGCACCGGCUAACUACGUG
rnacentral:rRNA from 1 species